rnacentral:rRNA from 1 species
CCGGAUAACAACACUAGACGCAUGUCUAGAGUUUAAAAGAUGGUUCUGCUAUCACUCUUGGAUGGACCUGCGGUGCAUUAGCUAGUUGGUAAGGUAACGGCUUACCAAGGCAAUGAUGCAUAGCCGAGUUGAGAGACUGAUCGGCCACAUUGGGACUGAGACACGGCCCAAACUCCUACGGGAGGCAGCAGUAGGGAAUCUUCCACAAUGGACGCAAGUCUGAUGGAGCAACGCCGCGUGAGUGAAGAAGGGUUUCGGCUCGUAAAGCUCUGUUGGUAGUGAAGAAAGAUAGAGGUAGUAACUGGCCUUUAUUUGACGGUAAUUACCUAGAAAGUCACGGCUAACUACGUGCCAGCAGCCGCGGUAAUACGUAGGUGGCAAGCGUUGUCCGGAUUUAUUGGGCGUAAAGCGAGUGCAGGCGGUUCAAUAAGUCUGAUGUGAAAGCCUUCGGCUCAACCGGAGAAUUGCAUCAGAAACUGUUGAACUUGAGUGCAGAAGAGGAGAGUGGAACUCCAUGUGUAGCGGUGGAAUGCGUAGAUAUAUGGAAGAACACCAGUGGCGAAGGCGGCUCUCUGGUCUGCAACUGACGCUGAGGCUCGAAAGCAUGGGUAGCGAACAGGAUUAGAUACCCUGGUAGUCCAUGCCGUAAACGAUGAGUGCUAAGUGUUGGGAGGUUUCCGCCUCUCAGUGCUGCAGCUAACG